AUUUCAUCACACUGCCAGAGCAUCAAUCGCUUCUCCGUAGGAUUUCGGUGCGUGCCCGCGGGGAGAGAGGGAAACGUCAGAGCAGAGAGAGAGAGAGAGACGUAGGAGCAGGUACGGCGAACUGAGCAGGGAGAUUUCCGGCGUCUUGGAGCAGGAGAUUCAGCUUCGUGGUAUAUAGUUCCUGGAAUUCAAGACCAUUCAAAUCUCUCUGUCUUUGCAGAUGGAUCCGGAGUCGGCACGCAAUGCGAGGGAAUCGCUGGAGCUGGUGUUCCAGAUGUCGAACAUUCUAGAAACAGGGUUGGAUCGCCACACGCUUUCCAUCCUAAUCGCCCUCUGCGACCAAGGCUUCAAUCCUGAAGCCCUUGCCGCCCUCGUCAAGGAGUUCCGUACGAAUGCCCCACUACCACCACCACCAUCAUCUCCAUCAUCCCAUCAUUCCCUUCAUCAUCAUCAUCCCUAGAUUGGUGGAUAUCGGCAAAACAAUCAAUGUUGCAUUUGGUGUAAAAAAGAAAACUGAAAGCAUGGCGCUCUGCUGGCUUUUGAUUUUUGACCUUUUGUCACUGCGGGGUUGUUCUCUGUUUCCUUGAAUUGGAUGGACAGGGAACCCACUGCUGCUUUUUUGGAUGCAUAUGUGAAUUGAAUUGCGAGUAUUCUUUGAAUUUCAGGACAUAGUGAAGGGAUCAGCAUUGGGAUUGGAAGAGACAGAUGAGUAUUGGCAUAACAUGGAUGAUGACUAUUAACAGUUUGUUUUUCAGUUGUUGGUUCUUGUUGGGAAUUCCAAGAAGUCUGCAUUGUGGCCAUCUACAUGAGAGGAGUGUAAGACAGAAGUUUGCUUCUUCUUCUUAUUCUUUUGGUUUUUGUUUUUUGUUUUUUGUUUUGUUUUGUUUUGUUUUUUUAAAUUUCUUAUUGUGGAAUUCUUGCUAGUAGUUUUGUUUCUUGUUCCUUAUAGAACGGCAUAAACUGUCUCUGAGGAGUAUUUAAAAAUGUGAUGAGGCUGCGUUGGCUCAUGGUAAUUUCAGGGGCGGAUUAAAACUAUUUGUGGUUCUUGAUCCCUGAAACAAGAAGGUGCAUGGUCAUUUUGUUGGCUCA